rnacentral:rRNA from 1 species
AGUGAACGCUGGCGGUAGGCCUAACACAUGCAAGUCGAACGGCAGCACAGUAAGAGCUUGCUCUUACGGGUGGCGAGUGGCGGACGGGUGAGGAAUACAUCGGAAUCUACUUUUUCGUGGGGGAUAACGUAGGGAAACUUACGCUAAUACCGCAUACGACCUACGGGUGAAAGCAGUGGAUCUUCGGACCUUGCGCGAUUGAAUGAGCCGAUGUCGGAUUAGCUAGUUGGCGGGGUAAAGGCCCACCAAGGCGACGAUCCGUAGCUGGUCUGAGAGGAUGAUCAGCCACACUGGAACUGAGACACGGUCCAGAAUCCUACGGGAGGCAGCAGUGGGGAAUAUUGGACAAUGGGAGCAAGCCUGAUCCAGCCAUACCGCGUGGGUGAAGAAGGCCUUCGGGUUGUAAAGCCCUUUUGUUGGGAAAGAAAAGCAGCAGGUUAAUACCCCGCUGUUCUGACGGUACCCAAAGAAUAAGCACCGGCUAACUUCGU